UUAAAUUUAUUGGUUUUAUUUGUUCAACCAAUUUAAUAUGCGGCUAGCGUGGCUUCAAAUAAGUACUAUGACUCUCAGCGCUAUUCUAAGUGCGCAAAACUGAGUGAGCAAAACGACCAACUAUAUCUGCCUUUAAGCGUACCAAUCCAGAAGGGGUUAAACUGAGAAUUAACGCCUUGCUUGACCAAUCCCAAAUAUUUUGUGGUCAAUCAAUUGACCAAUUGUAUAAAACUGAAUGCAAUGCCGUAGAAACACUAAUUCAUAUACUUCAACAGUGCCAUAGAACUCAUGAGGUAUGUUAUUGAAAAACACAAUAAAAUAUUCUUACAUCAAGAGAGCAUUGACAAAGAAAUAUGAAAUGGCACAAGAGACUCCACUUCAAAACAUCUGACGAAAUUCAAAUCUGAUUUCGUAACCAUUAGAUACGUCAGCCUUGUUCAUUGAUACUCAGAUAGUCAAUGAAUAAAUUGCAAAGACUCCAAAAAUAAAGUGCAAAAGUACAGGCCAUUCAAAGGAGUUAUCAAGGACAGGAACAGUAUAGAGACAGUGUCACAAAUAUUUUUGACAUUUGUCACACUCUCUUAUCACGGAGUCGUCAUUGGGGAGUACCAAUGAAUUUACAAAUAAAAAAGUAUUUUAAUAAAAGGUGAACAUUUUAAAAGGUCGGACUCAAAAUUGGAACUCAAAAUUUUAAGGCACUUUGAAGGAGGUGGAACUUAAGUCAUCUUAGCGAAAAUCCUAAAAUAUGGGGAUUUACUACAUUUUGAAGAUCCAGUCGGAUAGCAUCUACCCAGAGGAGCAAUAUCGAUCGCGCAAAAAUUAGCUGAACGGAGAAACCGACAUAAGAGGGACUGUUUACUGAAGAAGUCAAGCUAGCACAUGGUUGAUGUUAUUAGAAUGUUGAAAGAGAAAUAUUCUAUUUCCGCAGCAAAGAAAGCCUGGGCAAUUUUUAGACUCCAAACCACAACUAUUACACGAAUAGCUGCUGCUUUGCUCACAGUCACAGUGGAUUUGUUGCACAGAAAUCUUGGCAGGGAACUAGUCAGCACAACUAAUAUCUUUGUAAUAUCAGUUGAUUGGCUUUGAGCAUUUAUAUCUUAUAAUAUUCCUUAUUCUGCUGCAUACUGCUAGAAAUGUGAAGUUACUUAACGGCAUCUUUACAAUUUGAGGUUAGUGAAGCGCAUAAGUUGACACGGUGCCGAGAAUGGAGAAUAGUAUUCUGCCUUCAAAAAUUCCGGAAAGGAUUAACAGAUGUGAUGAGCAACACGACAUCGAGAUACUGAAAGCACUUACAUGAACGAAUGACUUGUAUAAGAUUUCAUAAAAUUUGAUACCCUAAAACUAUGUUUUCAUUGCAUCGGCAUUUGUCUAAAUUCAUUGCGUCAAUUUCUACUGAGCGACUUUGCUACCACACCAUGGUAUAUCACCAUUUUCAGCAUUAUCAACAUAUUGAAUACAUAUGUACCUAUUUUGUAUUUUGUGGUGCAACAAAAUGUUCGAUGACGAUGAGAUGCUACUCAUUUAUAAUAAUUGCAAAAAAAAAAAAAAAUUAGGAAAUACUCGAAAAUACGAAGAUUUUGGAUGCAUUACAAUUUACGCAGCAAAAAAGUGAUUUUAUGAAAGAUUUUGAACAAUAUUAACACAUUAGCCAUGGAUGCCAGUAAAAUUACAAAAUAUAGCAUCCUUAAUAGAUCGUUUGCAAAUCAAAAAUUGGAUAUAUUUGUCAUUUUAUUCUCUAUUGUGGAAGGAGCAUCAGAAGACCAUCAUGAACUUAAUGGAUCAAUACUUAAACAAAUGAUAUCAUUUAUAUGUAGACAAUUUUUAUAAUAGUGUAAAUUUGGUUUUGAUGUUAUUAUUAAAAAAAAUAAAACUGUGGAACAAUAAAAACAAAUCGAGAAUUAUCAAACUCUUUAAAAAAAACGUGGAGAAAUGUGCUACAAGAUAUAGAAGUGUACAAAAAAUCGUAAUAUUUACAUGAUCUCAAUUAUUCAUAAUGCAAAAUUAAUAGAUUCUAAUCGACUGGAAUACGCAAUUUCUCAUCAAAAGCUGUAUAAUACAUUAUGUUACAUAAUAUAAACCAAUAUAUAAGUAGCAUCAAUCUUAUUAAUUAAUAUCUAGCAUAUAAUCCUAUUUUCAGAAAAAUUCUAAAAUGGAUGAAAAAAUUGUUUUUUUUUUAUCAUCUCUAUAGUGUCUUAUUUAAUCCAUUUCGUGUUUUUCAAAUGCUUAAUUAACAAACAAUUUCCAUAACUUUAUGCUCAAUGUAGCUCAAUCUUAGCUAGAAGAAACCUGUGAUACAGCAUAUUCCGACAUAGAAAAAUACGAAUUUGCAAGAAUUGCAAGAAACAAUAAGAAUGUCGGAAGAAGAUGUGUAUGUUAUUCAUGUAGAGAGACUGCUUAUAUAUAUGUGUAAAUAUUGUAAUUUCCUUGGUGAUUGUAUUCAAACAUAUCAUACAAAGAAAAAGUAUCAAUGUAAAUAACAUGUAUUGAUGUGACAUGAACCAAAAUAUACAAGAAUAGAGAUAUAUAAAUAUGGGUAUAUAUAAAUUAUUGUAGGAUAAGGACUUAGGAUAAGAAAAUAUAUUUAGUUUUUAGUUUUAGUUAAGAAUUAAGAAAAUAGACUAUUUAGUUUGAAUGCGAAAGGAUAUUUGAGAAAAUGAUAAAGAUUUUGAGAAAAAGGCGAGGAAGAAAGAACUAGAGUGCGAUUAGACGUAAUUAAGUCGAGUAACUAGGUCAAGUGGUUUAUAUUUAGAAAUCGAAUUCGAGACGAUAGAAAGAAUGAAUGGUUGACUAGUUUCUAAUUUUUAGUAAAUGGUUUAAAGAGAGAUGCCUGUUUUUACGAAGGAAAUGUAUGAAAGAAAGCAUGAAAGUUGAGAAAAUGAAUUAGAAGUGCAAUAUAGAGAAUAUCUUAGUGUGUUGUUAUGACGUGGACUACGCGGAUUCGAUGUUCGUUUCAGUCCGCUUUCCUUACGAACAUUUACAGGGAUAAGGGUUGAAUUUCGUAUUGAAAUUAAAUUUCGAAGCUUUUAUGAUCAAGUGAUAUAUUUGAAUAAUGGUGACGACGAUUAACUGAUUGCGAGAUUGAUUGAAAAAGAAAUUGUAUCACUGUGAUUUGAUUGUUGGCGAUGUUGUACAAAAGAAAUAAUGUUGAAUGCGUCGAUCAGUUGUUUAUAUAUGUUGUUUUUUACUUUCCUGCUUGCUCGAUUUACUGCGUGUGCGAUGUCGGGUCGAGUUCUGUUACUGAGAUAUAAUAAACUGCCCACACAU